GACUGUGCUCGCUGAGACAGCUAUUUACACCACGUCCUAUAGGAGCUGAGCAGGAAAAGCUAGUGCUUCAGUAAAGUGGAAUGGGUAACACUUUAUACUAAGCAUCACCAUCAAAAAUUUGUAGUUAGCUAAAGCUUUUUUAAUAAUUAUUUUACUGGAAACAAACAAUGGGAUGAUAAUUAACUAAUUGAAAAAUGAUUGGUUUGUAAGUGCUUUGCAGUGGAACAUUAACAUGUCACAGUCUGGCGGCAAAGCUGACUGUGUGGACUGAGAAGGUGGACCCAAGAGCAUCACGGGAAGAGACAAAACAAAACUUAAGUGACAAAAAUGGGCGAUUGUGGUUCAGGGGGUUGGGAAGCUCAUCUUGUAACCGGAAGGUCGCCAAUCCCCAGCUCUGUAAGUCUUGGUCGUUGUGGGCAAGACACUUCACCUACCGCCUACUGGUGAUGACCAGAGGGGCCGAUGGCACGAUAUGGCAGCCUUGCUUCUGUCAGUCUGCCCCAGGGCAGCUGUGGCUACGAGUGUAGCUUUCCUCCACCAGUGUGUGAAUGUGUAUGAAUAGUGAAUGAAUAGUGUAAAGCGCUUUGAGGGUCUCGAAAAGCGCUAUAUAAAUACAAUCCAUUAUUAUUAUUAAAAAAUAUAAAAUAUGUGAAAGCUGCAGCAAUCGCAUGAUAGUACCAAAAAAAAGUACAAAAAAAAGUACAAAACAAAAGGCAGAGACGAAACUAAACAAUAACUUAAACUGGGUGAACUAAGAUUAAAACAUGAAAAAACUUGAGCGUGCGACCUGGCAUGGAUACAUGGGAAAAACCUGGAAAAACGAUGUGAACUUAGCAGACGACCUGACGACGAAUGACUGGAAACUCACAGGCUAAAUGCACACAUGAGGUGAUCAGGGAAAGUGGAAACACAUGGGGACAGCUGAUAUGAAUGAACAUAACAACGUCGCAGGGGGAGAGUAAAACUAAACACGUUGAACAUGGGAACUUAAGAGCUCUUCAAAAUAAAACAGGAAACAUAAUGAGACACAGACAUGACAACACAAGACACGCAGACAUGAAACACAUGAAGGGCUUUUUGUGAUUUAAACCCACUGAUCAUGUCCUGUUUCAUUCACUUUUAAGUUUUACUGGGUGAAAUGCAACACCAAGCCAUGACAGCGCUUCUACUAUGUUUAUAGGUAAUUGCAGAAACUCACUGUUAUACCUCUAGAAUAUCCUCCUCUCUACACAUUGACACUGAUUUGAACCAUAAAUGUAAAUUUGGAUUCUUCACUCUAUAAACCUUUUCUCCCUAAAUCCUUUGCUUAAGAAUGAUUUCUUGAAAUUCACUUUUUC
ensembl:lncRNA